AUUGAACGCUGGCGGCAUGCCUUACACAUGCAAGUCGAACGUGAAAGCGGGGCAACCCGCAAGUAGAGUGGCGGACGGGUGAGUAAUACAUCGGAACGUGUCCAGUAAUGGGGAUAACCUAGCGAAAGUUAGGCUAAUACCGCAUACGAUCUGCGGAUGAAAGCGGGGGAUGCGGCACUAAAGGCUUUUGGCGAAGGUGGCCAAAGGUGAGUCAAGAGCUUUUAGUGCNGCACCUCGCGUUAUUGGAGCGGCUGAUGUCUGAUUAGCUAGUUGGUGAGGUAAGCUUACCAAGGCACGAUCAGUAGCUGGUCUGAGAGGACGGCCAGCCACACUGGGACUGAG
rnacentral:rRNA from 1 species